GGCCCACGUGAGAUGACUGUCAACAGCUUUUACAGGUUCUUUUCACCACAGAGGAGAAGGAGAGAAUUCUGCUGGAGGCAAGAAAGAACGUGCUGGGGGCCAAUGGACAGCUGACACAACUUCUGAAUGAAAUAGAUGCAAGCUUCCCUCUGACACGUCCUAACUGGGACCCUAACAGGCCUGAAGGUAGGGAGCGGUUGACAAUUUUCCACCGGGCUCUGGUAGCAGGACUGAGAAGAGCUGACAGGCGCCCCACCAAUUUGG
rnacentral:lncRNA from 1 species